GACGAACGCUGGCGGCGUGCUUAACACAUGCAAGUCGAACGGAAAGGCCCUGCUUUCGUGGUGUGCUCGAGUGGCGCACGUGUGAGAAACACGUGAAUCACCUGCCCUUGACUUUCCCACAUCGUCAGGAAACUGGGGAUAAUACCUGAUAUGACCUCCUGCUGCGCAGUGUGGUUCGUAUAGUUUCGGCGGUUGGGGAUGUACUCGCGGCUUAUCAGCUUGUUGGUGGGGUAGUGGCUUACCAAGUCGUCUACCGGUAGCGGGCCUGAGAGGGUGCCCGGCCACAUUGGGACUGAGAUACGGCCCAGACGCAUACGGGAGGCAGCAGUGGGGAAUAUUGCACAAUGGGCGGAAGCCUGAUGCAGCAACGCCGCGUGCGGGAUGACGGCCUUCGGGUUGUAAACCGCUUUCGCCUGUGACGAAGCGUGAGUGACGGUAAUGGGUAAAGAAGCACCGGCUAACUACGUG
rnacentral:rRNA from 1 species